rnacentral:rRNA from 1 species
GAUGAACGCUGGCGGCGUGCCUAAUACAUGCAAGUCGAGCGAACAGACGAGGAGCUUGCUCCUUCGACGUUAGCGGCGGACGGGUGAGUAACACGUAGGUAACCUACCUAUAAGACUGGGAUAACUUCGGGAAACCGGAGCUAAUACCGGAUAAUAUUUCGAACCGCAUGGUUCGAUAGUGAAAGAUGGCUUUGCUAUCACUUAUAGAUGGACCUGCGCCGUAUUAGCUAGUUGGUAAGGUAACGGCUUACCAAGGCAACGAUACGUAGCCGACCUGAGAGGGUGAUCGGCCACACUGGGAGUGGGACACGGUCCAGACUCCGAGGGGAGGCAGCAGGAGGGAAUCUGCGGCAAUGGGCGAAAGCCUGACGGAGCAACGCCGCGUGAGUGAUGAAGGUCUUCGGAUCGUAAAACUCUGUUAUUAGGGAAGAACAAACGUGUAAGUAACUGUGCACGUCUUGACGGUACCUAAUCAGAAAGCCACGGCUAACUACGUG